CUGAACUGCUGUAGAGGAAGAAGCAGUCUUUCUUACUGCACUGUCCUCCCCAAAGGCAUAAAUUUAUAGGGAAAAAAAAAAUGAUUCACAGUUUGCAGAAAGCUUACACUGCCUGGCUGACAAAAUGGUCUUCUGAUUUCUGACUUCUUUUGCUAACCUGCCCCAUCUGCUUAUGCACAGCUGAAUGUGAGCAGCUGCAGGAAGAGAAGGAGAACCCCUUUCCUCACCACAGCAGUGGAAAACUUCUGAAUUUACUCCAUGUUCUGCAGAAUACCAUGAAUAAGAAGAACCUGUCUGUAUUUGUGGAUGGCUGAGAUCAAGCUUGGUCUUAGAAUCAGGCAUCUUCCUUAAGAAGAAAGGGAUGUGACACAGACUUUUAAGUUUGACAUGGGUGACAGCAAGUCUUUCAACACAUGAAGCCCAUUCAUUUUUGUCUUGAAAACAGUUUUGUAAAUGUCAGAGUUUAAAACUCAUUUGACUCAUUUUUGCCUUUUUUUCAGCAGCGUUUAUCUCACCCCAAGUUUGAAGGGAUAUCUGUUCAUUUCCAUCAGAAGAAUAACUCAGUCAACAGACAGGGACUUCUGUUUUACCAAGCCUGCUGUGCAUGCUUCUGGCAAUGCUGGGUUACAGGAGCUCAGGUUCUUGUGUUUGAAAACCUCUAUGUGGCAAACAGAGAGAAUGAGGCUUUAAAACUUUCUGUUUUCUUUGGCUUUUGGGCAACUGGUUGCAUUAUAUCUAAGGGAAAAAAUACUUCAUGCUGCAAAACUAUGUCCCUCUCCUAUGGCAUGUCAUCAGAUGUCUUACAUAUUUUAACUCAAAUAUGAAAUGGCAAUACAAAUCUACACGUGGAUGCAGCAUUUUGCUGCCUAUUACUUUAAGUGUUUACAUUCUAUUGAAAGCACAGCUGCACUGUAGAAAAAAGCAUUUCUUAUAUUGACCUGACAGAAUUCAAUCUUUAGAUAUCUCAGGGAAACCAGCAUGGGGUUAUUCAGUAUCUGCACAAACCAUAUUCUAAUAGUUUUCACCACGAAUGAUCAUGACACUCUUUCAUAGUCCUGCAUUUUUCCAUUUUUGCUGAUUCUUCUUUUUUUUUUUUUUAAGUAUUUCCUCAAGAAUCUGUGUUCAAACUACAUUCAAAAAGCAUAUGCAGAUUUUAAUCUCUUUACAGAAGACACAAUCCCAUUCUUUUUUUUUUUUUUCUUUAGUCUACCACAAACACUUCUACCCUACUGAUAUUGCAAGUACCUUUUUUUUUCCACGUACAGAGGAGCAUAGGAACAGGUUUUGUGGACAGCUCAGCUCCAUAAUCUGUCUUUCACAAUAGCCAAAAGCAACACCAAUCAGUGACUUAUGGCUUGUCUUGAAUAUUAGUGACAGCAGUUAUGAGGUCAAAGCACUGGAAAUAAUUGCAUUGUGCUGAUGAUCUCCAGGGCCUGAGGUUUAUACAGCCAAGGCAAUGGGAAAGAGAGCAGAAGGAUCCAGCAAACCACUGAAGUACAGGAGCUGUAAUGAAGAUGGUCAUGGGAGCACAGGUCCAACCUUUGAGGUCACAGCAUCUUGCUGCAUAGCACUGGAGGCAGCCACAUCUUGCAGCCCCUGCACACAGUGAUGUGAAUGUCAAAUAGCCAGGGCUAGGUUCAUAAGGACAGGUAUUAUCUCGCUGGGAAAAAAAACACAAACAGUCUUUCAGGCACAUAAGUCUUAUUUUGAGACUGAAGAGAAUGAAGCGGAGGCUGAGAAUUAUAUAUUCUUUGACCAUCAUGGUUACAACACUACAACCAUUGCAGUUCUGUCAGUUAAUUAAUUUUUACCACUAAGAGCCCCUAAGGAAUAUGUCAAUUUAAAUUAUAAAGCACCAAGAGGAGCUUCAUAAAAAUGAAUGUCUGUGUAUAAACCUUAAUUUCACGGAAAGUCCUAAGAAAAAUUCUUAACCCAAACCAGUUAUUUUUGCAUCCUAAAUCAAAGUAAGCUUCAGUGUAGUGUUAGAAUGGAAGUUAGGGUUAGGAAAACUCUGCUCACGCUUUUGAUCUCAGAGUUCAAGACAUUCCCGGUCAACAAGUUUCUAAGACCUGGUGAAUAUCAGAGUUAUGCUGGCAUCCUAAAGUGAGACAGCUCUCAAGAUGCUUAUUCUCAUUCUGCAGAAACUCCUGCUGAUGGACUGGGGCCCUGAUCUGAUAAAAUCUCUGCAGGCUGAGUGCCUGUUCUGUAGUUCCUUGUUAAUACUGUCCUUUAAAGAAAUUAAUCUUCCCCUCCAGAACUAAUCUUCCCCUCUCAGCUCUGGGCACAGGAAGUAUUUUUCCCUGGUUCAGAGCUCUUUUUCUCAUGGUCCUGCCCUUCUCAGAAGUUCUGAAUAUUUAUUUUUUCAGAAAAAGGUGUGUCAGAGGAGAAACCAUUUCCCCUUGGAUUAAACAUAGCUGCUCUGGCACACAACUCUGUGGCUGCUAUACUGAAGGGUCAGGCACUUCACCUCACACAGUUGUCCAGGGAAUAAAACCCAUUAUGGAAUGUGGAAAUAGGAAAGUUGACUGUUCUACAGAUAGGGAAGUGAGACUGAGAUGGAAGUCAGAGACAAAUUAAAGGGAAUGAGCAUGGACUGAAGGUUAGAUCUCCAGCCCUAUGUUUGGGCCUUGUCCAAGAUGAAAUUCAUGGGGCCAUUUUAAAGUGAAUAUCAAGCAUCGCACUUUGCUCAUUUAAUAAACUUACCUGCUGUGAAGGACUGCUAGAUACUGCUAGAUACUUCCUCUGUACAUCUGUUGAGUUAACAUUAUAGAAGAUUGAUAUUUAUGUGAUGGAGAGAGUUUACAAUGCUGAUUAAGUAAAUAUUUGCUUUUAAAUAUUUGUAUGCCAGUGCUUAGUUUAUGAAUGUGAAUUCCCAAGAUCACUGUUUUUAUGAUCCCAUUUCAGCAAGGGCAAUUACUUCCUUUCUGCUAAUCAGGAAAAGACACAACCAAUAUUAAGAGACCAUGGGAAUUGAGUAGGAUCAAAGGUGCAGAUUACCAACUGGAACGUAUUUCUUUCUCAUGUUCAUUACUCAAUACUAUUUGCAUAAAUAAGCUUUUUUUUUUUUUUUCUAAUUUGAGAAAAUUUUCUUGCUGCUGAUUCUCUCUUGAGGUCAUAGUCUUCUUAUGAUAUCACAGUUGAUUGGCAGAGAAAAUGUUAUCACGUGAUCAGAGGUUCAUGUGAGAGAAUGAGUAGCUUUUAAGGAGAAGUUCCUGUAUUCAUAUUCAUAUCCCAUGUGUUAAAGUAUUAAUGCUGAAUGGAAACAAUCCUUCCCAUUCAGUACUUUUCCAUCACAUGACAGCAGUUUACUAUGUGUUUAGCAUUAUAGAGACAGUCACCACUAUAUGUUCUUCAUGAUGCUCUUAGGGCAGCACUAUGAAGCUCACAAGAGAUAUGAUAACUCAACCAAAAAUGAAGUCCACUAAUAAGAGACUUCAUCUGGAUUUCCCAGCAUAUGAUGUCUCCUUUGUGGUUUUCUAUAAACAUUUAGGGUGAGUGAAGGCUUUGAUACUAAUAUACCAUAUUUUUGGCACCAAAUAAAUACUAAAUGCUUGUGCACAACAGUGGCUUUUUAAAAAAUGGCUGUUUACAGGUAAAGUAUCCUCAGGAACUGUCCUCCUCCACAUUUCACUGUCCUAUAUGACUGUUAUCCACCUGUAUCAGAAUCUUGUCAGCCACCUGACAACAAAAAACUGAUAUGAUGCGGCUAAUAAAUUCUGCUCCAUUGCUUAACAGGUAAAUGCAAGUGUGGUCUAUAUGCAAAAUAUAUCCCUGAAUAUAUUGGAAUGAUAAAAGCCUUUGCUUGUUUAGAUCUAAUAAAAGAUUAGUCCACGUUGAA